rnacentral:rRNA from 1 species
AAACUUUCAACAACGGAUCUCUUGGUUCUGGCAUCGAUGAAGAACGCAGCAAACUGCGAUAAGUAAUGCGAAUUGCAGAAUUCAGCGAGUCAUCGAAUCUUUGAACGCACAUUGCGCCCGCCAGCACUCUGGCGGGCAUGCCUGUCCGAGCGUCAUUU